CCUACGGGAGGCAGCAGUGGGGAAUAUUGCACAAUGGGCGAAAGCCUGAUGCAGCGACGCCGCGUGAGGGAUGACGGCCUUCGGGUUGUAAACCUCUUUCAGCAGGGAAGAAGCGAAAGUGACGGUACCUGCAGAAGAAGCGCCGGCUAACUACGUGCCAGCAGCCGCGGUAAUACGUAGGGCGCAAGCGUUGUCCGGAAUUAUUGGGCGUAAAGAGCUCGUAGGCGGCUUGUCACGUCGGGUGUGAAAGCCCGGGGCUUAACCCCGGGUCUGCAUUCGAUACGGGCUAGCUAGAGUGUGGUAGGGGAGAUCGGAAUUCCUGGUGUAGCGGUGAAAUGCGCAGAUAUCAGGAGGAACACCGGUGGCGAAGGCGGAUCUCUGGGCCAUUACUGACGCUGAGGAGCGAAAGCGUGGGGAGCGAACAGGAUUAGAUACCCUGGUAGUCCACGCCGUAAACGGUGGGAACUAGGUGUUGGCGACAUUCCACGUCGUCGGUGCCGCAGCUAACGCAUUAAGUUCCCCGCCUGGGGAGUACGGCCGCAAGGCUAAAACUUAAUGAAUUGACGG
rnacentral:rRNA from 1 species